rnacentral:rRNA from 1 species
AGCAGCCGCGGUAAUUCCAGCUCCAAUAGCGUAUAUUAAAGUUGUUGCAGUUAAAGAGCUCGUAGUUGAAUUUCGGGGUUCUACCGUCGGUCGGGCUACCAAGUCUGUACUGGUGUGUAGAACUUCUACCUUCUGGGGAACCAUCAUGUUAUUAAUUUAGCGUGGUGGGAAACCAGGACCUUUACCUUGAAAAAUUAGAGUGUUCAAAGCAGGCUUAUGUCUGAAUACAUUAGCAUGGAAUAAUGAAAUAGGACGUUCGAUCCUAUUUUGUUGGUUUCUAGGAUUGACGUAAUGAUUAAUAGGGAUAGUUGGGGGCAUUAGUAUUCAAUUGUCAGAGGUGAAAUUCUUGGAUUUAUUGAAGACUAACUACUGCGAAAGCAUUUGCCAAGGAUGUUUUCAUUAAUCAAGAACGAAAGUUAGGGGAUCGAAGACGAUCAGAUACCGUCGUAGUCUUAACCAUAAACUAUGCCGACUAGGGAUCGGAUGAUGUUAAUUUUUUAAUGACUCAUUCGGCGCCUUACGGGAAACCAAAGUGUUU